rnacentral:rRNA from 1 species
GAUGAACGCUGGCGGCGUGCCUAAUACAUGCAAGUCGAGCGAACAGACGAGGAGCUUGCUCCUCUGACGUUAGCGGCGGACGGGUGAGUAACACGUGGAUAACCUACCUAUAAGACUGGGAUAACUUCGGGAAACCGGAGCUAAUACCGGAUAAUGUAUUGAACCGCAUGGUUCAAUAGUGAAAGACGGUUUUGCUGUCACUUAUAGAUGGAUCCGCGCCGCAUUAGCUAGUUGGUAAGGUAACGGCUUACCAAGGCAACGAUGCGUAGCCGACCUGAGAGGGUGAUCGGCCACACUGGAACUGAGACACGGUCCAGACUCCUACGGGAGGCAGCAGUAGGGAAUCUUCCGCAAUGGGCGAAAGCUUGACGGAGCAACGCCGCGUGAGUGAUGAAGGUCUUCGGAUCGUAAAACUCUGUUAUUAGGGAAGAACAAAUGUGUAAGUAACUAUGCACGUCUUGACGGUACCUAUCAGAAAGCCACGGCUAACUACGUG